rnacentral:rRNA from 1 species
UACGAACUGUGCAAACGUUAUUCGGAAUCACUGGGCUUAAAGGGUGCGUAGGCGGCUUGUUAAGUAGGGUGUGAAAUCCCCCGGCUCAACCGGGGAAUUGCGCCCUAAACUGGCGAGCUGGAGUGAGAUAGGGGUGUGUGGAACUUCCAGUGGAGCGGUGAAAUGUGUUGAUAUUGGAAGGAACGCCAGUGGCGAAAGCGACACACUGGGUCUCAACUGACGCUGAGGCACGGAAAGCCAGGGGAGCAAACGGG